UGGAUGGUAUCAAACAAACCAUCUCUGUCAUCUGGUAUUCCUUUAAGUGCAUUGUGAAUCCUAAACACAGAAGGGCAAUGUUAUAAACAAAAAUAAAAUUU